GGGUAUGUAACCGAUGGGCUUGGGAGAGCGCUUGAAUGGCAUUCAAGAGGUCAGCGGUUCGAUCCCGCUUAUCUCCACCA
rnacentral:tRNA from 1 species